UAUACUUGCAGAGAACAGGUUUGUACUGGUACAGAAUCCAGGAACACUGGUUAGGUUAACUGCCCGCUGUUACAUAACUGAAAUACUGUUGAAAAAUGGCGUUAAACCCAAAACAAACAAACAAACAGGACAGGAACCGCCAAGGUCUUCAGGAGCUCUCGGCAAAGGGGGAAGAAUUAGUUGUUGUUAAAGUGGAACUCAGUGCCUUACAAGAAAAAUACUAAACCAAGUACAUGCCAAUGAGAAAUUGGGGAACAAAAUCAGAGAACAAAGUAAAGCCAUUAUGCAGCUCACAGCUGAAAAAGAACAAAUGUUGAAACAGAUCAGCAAGUAUCAGAAACAGAACAACAAGAUGAAGAUUGAGCUGGAGGAGAGACAUAAUGAGGCAGAGAGAUUUAAAGCUCUACAGAACCACAGCUCACACCAACAAGUUCUCCUCAACCAGCUCAGGUCCAGGCUAGAGGAACAUGAAGUGGAACAAGAUCAGGAAAUGUCGAGCAAGAUGGCUACUAUAGAGGAUCUUCAUAACGGACUCAAACUGAACAUUGACAAUAUACAGCAGUGUAAUAGUCAGUUAAAUUCUUUACAAAAAGAUAACUACAGAUAACGAAGUUAUUUGGAACGUGAGAUUGGUACCUGGCAGACCCUUGAACUACAGAUCGAGAGUAAAGAACAGACUAAAUAGCCUCAAAACUCAACUUGAGGCCCAGAAACAUCUUCUCAUUGACCACAGCUCUGCAUUGAAGGAUCCCGAUCAUGCUAUGGUAAAGGAUAAUCGGCAGAGGUAGAGGUUACAAAUGAUGUGCAAAAAAUAGAAAUAUCACAAGUUAACAGUCAGUAAGGGAAAUGUGGAUGAAAAUAUUGACUCCAGCCAGUAACUCGACAUUUCCUGAGCUUGCAAGAUACGUCAAAGAAAGGCGGGUUUAUAGAGCUGUUGCAGAUUCACCCAGUCAUGCUUAAACCAGAAGUUGAAUAGGCCAUGAAAAGGAGGUUGAUGUUGAGAAAUUACCAGAUGCAGUUCCUUGUGGCAACUUCAGACCUACCGUACUAUAGGAGAGGGCAACAAUUACCACUAUUAACCUAGAAACCAGUGACCUAAUUUGAAAGUGGAAUAUGCCACAAACAUCCCACACAAAGCUACAUAAUACACAAAUUGCUGUAACAUAGAUAUCUGUGUCAUGACUAAAAGGAAAUUUCACCAGCGGCACAAAGGAUCACUGGGAUUGCACGGAAGAUUCAGACACAAUAGUCCAACACAUCAGUACCUGGUAUUCAGUCGGUAGUAGAGAAAUUGUGUAUUUGGCUUGAAAAGAUCCUAAAGUGAUUUUCCAAAAUGGAGGACAGUUUUAAUUUCCAGUUCUUGUCUCAGCAUCACUAUGCACAAAAAUAACAAACAAUUUUUUUCAGCUGUAUUUCUUCUUUAGCGUAUUCUUUUACCAGUAUUCUGGAAAUUGUUCCUUAAAGAAGUCACACUAACAAUUAGAUCUUGCUAUGACACUACUUGGUAUCAGGUACAAUGCCUAUAGCUGACAGACAUAUUUAUUAUGAAAAAAUGGGACAGCCUGCCAAAGGUUAAAUAUGUUAAGAGGAUAUUAGAAGAUGGAGACAUUUUUCAAGCAAUGACUACAUUAUGAAGUAAAAUUGUAGCUUUUUGUUUAAAAUGUGAAAAUGCUAUCCUUUAAUACUCAUGACAAAGUUGGUACCAAAAUUUUCAUUAUCUUGAGUAGAAAAUAACAUUUGUGAUUGGAAAUUCAAAUUGUGUUAUGUAACUCUAUACAUGUAAUUCUUUAAUACAAUGUCAUUUUGUCUACAAUUCUUCAUCUUUGUACAGUGGUUACAAAUUUUAAAACAGUUGAAAAAUAGAUUACAAGUAACUCAAAACAAAGUUGUCAGGUUUAUUUGUGGUUAUAAUUAUCAAAGAUACUGAAAAGUUGCAGUUUUUUAUACUGGCUGGCUAACUAUUGAAAACAAGAGUUAAACAUUUAAUACUGAAUCAUGUUCACAAAAUCUUUGGGAAAAACAAGUUGUCCAGUUUAUCUGCAUAAUAAUUUCUCGCUUGUCUCUAAGAAAGUCUUAUAAUUGUAGACAUAGUAUAAACAGAUUUCAUGUACCUCAGUUUCAUGUCUACUACUUUUUAUUAUCAAGCUAUCAAUUACUGGAAUAGCCUUCCUAAUAACAUAAAACUUAAAAAGAAAACUGUCAAAAUGGAGCUCAUUUAAUGAAUGAAAAUUGCUAAGUAAUCAGAUUUUUAUUUUUUAUAAAUUGUAUCGUAUUGUUUUAUAAUAAGUGUGCAAUAUUCCUGCUUUGUGUUGAGAUAAGAAUGUCAUAAUAGAAUGUAACUGUGAUAUUAGUUAGGUAACUCUUGUACAGCUUAUCAUUUAUGCCAGUAACAGUUGUCGUUCCUGAUGAUGUACACAAGGACCUCUGUUAGAUUUUUAGCUCACGUAAGCACAAAGUGCUCAAGAUGAGCUUUUGUGAUUGCCCUGUGGUCAUCGUCCGUCCGUCCGUUGUCAACAGUUUGACUGUUAACACUCUA
rnacentral:lncRNA from 1 species